rnacentral:lncRNA from 1 species
GCGUGAUAGGUGUGACAAUAGUGAUGAGUUUUGUUCUGGUGGUGCACGCAACAGAGGUUGGCGAUUUUUCGUAUUCUAAUAAGUAGAUUGUGAGUGUGUGGGAAGAAGUUGAAGCAGAUGAGAGAGAGAGGGAGAGAGAAAGUGAGCGAGAGAGAGAGGGAGAGAAAGAGAGAGAGAGAGAGAGGGGGAGAGAGAGAGAGAGAGAGAGAGAGAGAGAGAGAGAGAGAGAGAAAGAGAGAGAGAGAGAGAGAUGAUGUGGGUGCAGUGGGCUAUUACAAGUUUUACCCUAAACAAGUUGCAAGUGCACAACAAACGCAGUAGUACUUAGGGAAUGAAUCCACAGGGAUUUCUGUGUUGAGGACUCCUAACUGAUACUAAGAACAAUUGUAGACUUAAUCAGAUUGAAGGGGGUUUUGGUUGUCACUAAUUCUAAUAAACUAAGCAGAAAAUAAAAGUUUGAAAAGAAAUCGGUUUGAAAACAAUAGAAAAACAGCGCUGGGCUUAGGAUUUAUCUAUAGGGUUCAUGAUCUAUGACACAAGGAAUCUAGAUAAGGUUUUUUAUGACUGUGAAACUAGAAUAGACACUUAUAAGAUUAGCCAAC